CCCUUUCUGUGAGCUGUUCACUCUGUUGAUAGUUUCUUUUGCCGUAAAGAAGCUCUUUAGUUUAAUUAGGUCCCAUUUGCCAAUUUUUGUUUUUCUUGCAAUUACUUUUGGCAUCUUUGUCAUGAAGAUCAUUUCCAGGUCCUAUGUCCGCAAUGGUAUUUCCUAGGUUAUCGUCCAAGGUUUUAAUAUGUUUUCAUUUUAGAUUUAAGUUUUUAAUCCUGCCUUUGCCUCCCAAAGUGCUGGGAUUACAAGCGUGAGCUACCACACCCAGCGAGGAAGCCAAGUUUAACGUGUGUGCUCCACUCCUCCAACCUGGCCAAAGGGCAGUCAUCAUCACUGGCCACUGCUGACCACAGCCUUUAGAAACUCCCCUUGAACGUGCUGGGCUGACCUUCCUCUGAUCACAGGCAAGGCAAAGGAAAACGACAGGCCCUUGCCUUCCCGGUCCUCAAGGGUCAGCUGUAAGAUGAUGUCAUAAAGCCAGAUCAGGUCCUGGGGCCGGGGGAAGCACUUGCUGUCAUCCUCUGGCUGCUGCUGCAGCAGAGCCCUCUGCAGACCUUUGGCCAUGCUCUCAUUACGCUUGAUUGCCAUUGACAGCUUGAUGUUGUAGAUGAGCAUGAGAGUGUGGAGCAGAGUUGGCGAGUGCAAGUCGAGCCCAUCAACCUGGACAGCUGUCUCCGUGCUUUCACCAGUGAGGAAGAGCUAGGGGAAGAUGAGAUAUACUACUGUUCCAAGUGUAAGACCCACUGCUUUAGCAACAAAGAAGCUGGAUCUCUGGAGGCUUCCACCCUUCCUGAUUAUUCACCUUAAGCGAUUUCAAUUUGUAAAUGAUCAGUGGAUAAAAUCACAGAAAAUUGUCAAAUUUCCUCGGGAAAGUUUUGAUCCGAG
rnacentral:lncRNA from 1 species